rnacentral:rRNA from 1 species
UAGAGUUUGAUCCUGGCUCAGAACGAACGCUGGCGGCAGGCUUAACACAUGCAAGUCGAACGCAUCCUUCGGGGUGAGUGGCAGACAGGUGAGUAACGCGUGGGAACGUGCCCUUCAGUUCGGGAUAACCCAGGGAAACUUGGGCUAAUACCGGAUACGUGCGAGAGCAGAAAGAUUGAUCGCUGAAGGAUCGGCCCGCGUCUGAUUAGCUAGUUGGUGAGGUAAUGGCUCACCAAGGCGACGAUCAGUAGCUGGUCUGAGAGGAUGAUCAGCCACAUUGGGACUGAGACACGGCCCAAACUCCUACGGGACGGCAGCA